UACGGAGGAAGCUAGCGUUGUUCGGAUAUACUGGGCGUAAAGCGCACGUAGGCGGCGCCGUAAGUCAGGGGUGAAAUCCCGGAGCUCAACUCCGGAACUGCCCUUGAAACUGCAGUGCUAGAAUUCUGGAGAGGCGAGUGGAAUUCCGAGUGUAGAGGUGAAAUUCGUAGAUAUUCGGAAGAACACCAGUGGCGAAGGCGACUCGCUGGACAGACAUUGACGCUGAGGUGCGAAAGCGUGGGGAGCAAACAGG
rnacentral:rRNA from 1 species